GACGAACGCUGGCGGCGUGCCUAACACAUGCAAGUCGAGCGAGUGAAUCUCCUUCGGGAGUGAAGCUAGCGGCGGACGGGUGAGUAACACGUGGGCAACCUGCCUCAUAGAGGGGAAUAGCCUUCCGAAAGGGAGAUUAAUACCGCAUAAGAUUGUAGCUUCGCAUGAAGUAGCAAUUAAAGGAGCAAUCCGCUAUGAGAUGGGCCCGCGGCGCAUUAGCUAGUUGGUGAGGUAACGGCUAACCAAGGCGACGAUGCGUAGCCGACCUGAGAGGUUGAUCGGCCGCAUUGGGACUGAGACACGGCCCAGACUCCUACGGGAGGCAGCAGUGGGGAAUAUUGCACAAUGGGGGAAACCCUGAUGCAGCAACGCCGCGUGAGUGAUGACGGCCUGCGGGUUGUAAAGCUCUGUCUUCAGGGAUGAUAAUGACGGUACCUGAGGAGGAAGCCACGGCUAACUACGUGCCAGCCGCCGCCGUAACAC
rnacentral:rRNA from 1 species